UGGUUUUUAAAAUAUAUAUUUAUUAGGUUAAACAUUUUUUCUUCUAUAUCCCUAGUUUGCUAAGCAUUUUAACUCUGAGUGAUGACUUUAAUUGCUUUUCCUUUUAAAACUGAUCUUAGAAUUACCCUGCUUUAAGAGGCCUUUCCAGCAAUCUAAAGUUGGAAUAAAAGCUCCUCGUCUCUGAUCCCACUGCAUUUUGUGCUUCCAGUGGCAAGUUCAUCUGCUGAUGUGUCACUGGGUCUCCUUCCAAAAGUAACUCUAUAGUACAACAUGAUGCUUCAGGUAUAGAAACCUUGCUCUUAUUUGUUUAGCCAAAUGAAAUGUGAAUCUAAAUUUAAUCCAGGGUGUUCAAGAACUUGUUCACUAGGUCCUGUCAUUCUUGUAGCCUGAUCAAAACAUUCCACUGGGAAGCACAAUUUCUAAAUAACUGGGACAAUGGUUGGAACCUAGAGAAAAUCCCAGGCAUAC
rnacentral:lncRNA from 10 species